CAAUAGCGUAUAUUAUAGUUGUUGCGGUAAAAAAGCUCGUAGUUGGAUUUCUACCGAAGAUAGCCGGUCGGGUCUUCGACCUUGUAUCUGGUUUUGUCUUUGGUAUCCUCAUAGGGAACGUUUCUGCGCUUUAUUGCGUGGUGCGGUAUCUAUGACUUUUACUUUGAGGAAAUUAGAGUGUUCACGGCAGGCAAACGCCUUGAAUAUAUUAGCAUGGAAUAAUAACAUAGGAUCUUCGUCCUAUUUUGUUGGUUUCUAGGGCUAAGAUAAUGAUUAAUAGGGAUAAUUGGGGGCAUCUGUAUCAACGCGUCAGAGGUGGAAUUCUUGGAUUGCGUUGCGACAAACUACUGCGAAAGCAUUUGCCAAGGAUGUUUUCAUUGA
rnacentral:rRNA from 1 species